rnacentral:rRNA from 1 species
GAUGAACGCUGACGGCGUGCCUAAUACAUGCAAGUCGAGCGAACAGACGAGGAGCUUGCUCCUCUGACGUUAGCGGCGGACGGGUGAGUAACACGUGGAUAACCUACCUAUAAGACUGGGAUAACUUCGGGAAACCGGAGCUAAUACCGGAUAAUAUAUUGAACCGCAUGGUUCAAUAGUGAAAGACGGUUUUGCUGUCACUUAUAGAUGGAUCCGCGCCGCAUUAGCUAGUUGGUAAGGUAACGGCUUACCAAGGCAACGAUGCGUAGCCGACCUGAGAGGGUGAUCGGCCACACUGGAACUGGAACACGGUCCAUACUCCGACGGGAGGCAGCAGUAGGGAAUCUUCCGCAAUGGGCGAAAGCCUGACGGAGCAACGCCGCGUGAGUGAUGAAGGUCUUCGGAUCGUAAAACUCUGUUAUUAGGGAAGAACAAAUGUGUAAGUAACUAUGCACGUCUUGACGGUACCUAAUCAGAAAGCCACGGCUAACUACGUG